UACGAAGGGGGCUAGCGUUGUUCGGAAUUACUGGGCGUAAAGCGUAUGCAGGCGGACUUUUAAGUCGGGGGUGAAAUCCCGAGGCUCAACCUCGGAACUGCCUUCGAUACUGGAAGUCUUGAGUCCGGGAGAGGUGAGUGGAACUCCGAGUGUAGAGGUGAAAUUCGUAGACAUUCGGAAGAACACCAGUGGCGAAGGCGGCUCACUGGCCCGGUACUGACGCUGAGAUACGAAAGCGUGGGGAGCAAACAGG
rnacentral:rRNA from 1 species